rnacentral:rRNA from 1 species
ACUGAAUGAAUUGGACUUUAUUUGCGCAGUAUAAGUGGGAGGCGUUGAAAAUAUUCUUGCGGGAAUAUUGGAGCCAUCAGUGAGAUACCACUCUUGUAAUGUUAGAUUUCUAACUUUGUAUCAUUAUCUGGUCAAAGAACAGUCUCAGGCGGGCAGUUUGACUGGGGCGGUCGCCUCCCAAAUGGUAACGGAGGCGCACAAAGGUUUCCUCUGAACGGGUAGAAAUCGUAUCUAGAGUGUAAAGGCAUAAGGAAGCUUGACUGUGAGACCUACAAGUCGAGCAGGGACGAAAGUCGGUCUUAGUGAUCUGACGGUGCUGAGUGGAAAGGCCGUCACUCAACGGAUAAAAGUUACUCUAGGGAAACCAGGCUGAAA